AUUUUCCGCAAUGGGCGAAAGCCUGACGGAGCAACGCCGCGUGAGUGAGGACGGCCUUCGGGUUGUAAAACUCUGUUCUUGGGGAAGAAACUCCGGGAGGCGAACAACUUCCCGGCAUGACGGUACCCAAGGAGAAAGCCCCGGCUAACUACGUGCCAGCAGCCGCGGUAAUACGUAGGGGGCGAGCGUUAUCCGGAAUUACUGGACGUAAAGCGCGCGCAGGCGGCCUGUUAAGUCGGGUGUGAAAGGCUGCGGCUCAACCGCAGAGCGGCACACGAAACUGGCGGGCUUGAGUGCAGGAGAGGGAAGCGGAAUUCCCGGUGUAGCGGUGGAAUGCGUAGAGAUCGGGAGGAACCCCAGUGGCGAAGGCGGCUUCCUGGCCUGUAACUGACGCUGAGGCGCGAAAGCGUGGGGAGCAAACAGG
rnacentral:rRNA from 1 species